GCGUUUAAAAAAAAAUCUGAGAGCUCUCCCUUUCUCUCGGUUUUUCCCACAUCCGGCCUGGGUACCGGCGAGCCUCCGCUAUGGCUCCGCUUUGACUCCGCCUAGCCGGAAAAUAAAAAAUGCUUUUAGUCCCUUUUUUUUAAUUAUUUUUUAAAACCCAGAUCUAAACCGAAUAUUUUUUUUUGAAAUCGAAAAAAUAAAAAAGAAAAAGAAAAUGCGAAGGAAAAAUUUCAGCCUCGCUGCGUUCAUCCGACCCUCGUCGGAACCCAAAUGGGUUCUGAGAUAUUCAGGGUGCUGAAAGUGGUCCUUGACGAUGGCAAAAGGUGGAACGACAAGUAUUGGCGCGCGGUUAGCAGCGACAAAAGAGGCCUGCGCUGGCCAUUUUGGUGAAACAGCGACCAAGGCGUGUCAGGCCUCGGGACGAGGAGCUCUAAUGUGGCAGUGAGGCAAAUGGGAUUAGGAUUUUUAGUUUUACUGAAAUCGUUGAAGUGUUUUGGGCCACUGGGUCUCUUUUUCAUUUGGGCUUGUAAUGUUUUUUGUUUUGGCCUCUAAUUUAUUUUUUUUUGCUUAUUUGUAAAUUGGUACAAUGAGUUAUUAAAUACAUUGAAAUUUUGUAGAAA